rnacentral:lncRNA from 1 species
UCGCCUGACAUGAUACAUGCAUACCAUGUGACAGUUAACUUGUCGACGCAACUCGUCUCGUUCUUUUUGCAGAUCAAUCGAUUCCCGCCUUUUUUGUUUGUUAAUCAGUUAUCCAUAUUUCUGAGAUUUUAACAUCAGUAUGAAACGUUUGUUGUCUUUAUGUAUUUUUUUCUGCAUUAAGUAAUAAAGAAAGAUUGAUCUCUCCGGAAAUACAGAAAUGCAAUCAACAAACACCCACCGUUAAAUGUACACAUCUAACAUCCACAUUCACCACCAAGCUCACACAAAGCAAUAACCGCAUCUAGAUUAGAUUUCCAUGACUUCUUUUGCUCUACUGUUGAUUACCGGCUUUGAUUGUUCAAUGUCAUUGGAUCUGAUUAUUUGAUUAUUUGAUUAUGCAGAUGCACCAGAAGCAGCAUCACAUCCAUUAUAAAAACAACGUUGAGGUAAGUCCUUACUCGUGGCUGAUGCAUAUGAGCAAAUAGUAUCGUUGUUCAUAUGCUGGAGUCACCAAGGACUGGUGCUUAAAGGACACUCAAGCCUCUUCACAGAAAUCUGAAAAAUUUAAACAUGUUACAACACAAGCAUAAACUAAUACUUAAAAAAGAAUUACUAUAUUAUAGUCCUCCUUGUGGCUGAAGCACAUAAAUAAGAUAAAUAUGUAGUUAUCCAAAUACAGGAGCCACCAAGGGCAGGUGCUUAAAGGACAUAGUAAUAUAUUGUGUAAAAUU